GAGUUUGAUCCUGGCUCAGGAUGAACGCUGGCGGUGCGCNUAAUGCAUGCAAGUCGAGCGACGCACUUCGGAGGGGUAACCCACUGAAAUGACGGAGCGGCGAACGGGUGAGUAACACGUGAGCAACCUGCCCCACAGACCGGGAUAGCCCAAGGAAACUCGGAUUAAUACCGGAUGCCCUCGUAGGACCGCAUGGUCCAUCGAGGAAAUGCCUUUGUGCUGUGGGAUGGGCUCGCGACUUAUCAGUUAGUUGGUGGGGUAACGGCCUACCAAGACAAUGACGAGUAGCUGGUCUGAGAGGACGAUCAGCCACACUGGAACUGAGACACGGUCCAGACUCCUACGGGAGGCAGCAGCAGGGAAUCUUGCGCAAUGGGCGAAAGCCUGACGCAGCGACACCGCGUGGGGGAUGAAGGCCUUCGGGUUGUAAACCCCUUUCAGGAGGGAAGAAAUUGACGGUACCUCCACAAGAAGGACCGGCCAACUACGUGCCAGCAGCCGCGGUAAUACGUAGGGUCCGAGCGUUAUCCGGAAUCAUUGGGCGUAAAGAGCUCGUAGGCGGUUCAGCAAGUCGGCUGUGAAAGUUCGAGGCUCAACCUCGAAAUUGCAGUCGAUACUGCUGUGACUCGAGUCCGGUAGAGGAGAAUGGAAUUCCCGGUGUAGCGGUGAAAUGCGCAGAUAUCGGGAGGAACACCAGUAGCGAAGGCGGUUCUCUGGGCCGGCACUGACGCUGAGGAGCGAAAGCGUGGGGAGCAAACAGGAUUAGAUACCCUGGUAGUC
rnacentral:rRNA from 1 species